UACGAAGGGGGCUAGCGUUACUCGGAAUUACUGGGCGUAAAGGGCGCGUAGGCGGCGUUCCAAGUUAGGCGUGAAAGUCCUGGGCUCAACCUGGGAACUGCGCUUAAGACUGGAAUGCUAGAGGAUGGAAGAGGGUCGUGGAAUUCCCAGUGUAGAGGUGAAAUUCGUAGAUAUUGGGAAGAACACCGGUGGCGAAGGCGGCGACCUGGUCCUUGACUGACGCUGAGGCGCGAAAGCGUGGGGAGCAAACAGG
rnacentral:rRNA from 1 species